rnacentral:lncRNA from 1 species
GGGCAGCGGUCCAAGGUGAAGCGAGGCGACUUGGAAGGUGUAGCGGACGGUGAUGUUGAAGAUGGAUUUCCUGUCAAUCUCGUAGGAAGCGGCGAUAGAGUCGACACAACUUGAAACUUUCCUUUUGGUGUGAUCUUCCUUUUCCUUUUCUGACCAAACAAGCUGCUUUCUCUUCUCGACGUGAUCUCUCUUUCCUCCCUUUUCUUUGGAUUAUAGUAGCUUCCUUGCUAGUCUUGAAGCUUCUCUUCUUUCUUCUUGAUGACCCGUGAAAGUACUAAUAGCACCACUUUCGAUUAGUACUUUUCCAAGACCUCCUUCACGUGCAGCGCG